rnacentral:rRNA from 1 species
UGGGGAAUAUUGCACAAUGGGCGAAAGCCUGAUGCAGCGACGCCGCGUGCGGGAUGAAGGCCUUCGGGUUGUAAACCGCUUUUAAUUGGGAGCAAGCGAGAGUGAGUGUACCUUUUGAAUAAGCACCGGCUAACUACGUGCCAGCAGCCGCGGUAAUACGUAGGGUGCAAGCGUUAUCCGGAAUUAUUGGGCGUAAAGAGCUCGUAGGCGGUUUGUCACGCCUGGUGUGAAAGUCCAUCGCUUAACGGUGGAUCUGCGCCGGGUACGGGCAGGCUAGAGUGCAGUAGGGGAGAUUGGAAUUCCCGGUGUAACGGUGGAAUGUGUAGAUAUCGGGAAGAACACCAAUGGCGAAGGCAGAUCUCUGGGCUGUUACUGACGCUGAGGAGCGAAAGCAUGGGGAGCGAACAGGAUUAGAUACCC